UACGUAGGGGGCAAGCGUUGUCCGGAUUUAUUGGGCGUAAAGAGCGUGUAGGCGGCCAAGCAGGUCCGCUGUGAAAACUCGAGGCUCAACCUCGAGACGUCGGUGGGAACCGUUUGGCUAGAGUCCGGAAGAGGAGAGUGGAAUUCCCGGUGUAGCGGUGAAAUGCGCAGAUAUCGGGAAGAACACCCGUGGCGAAGGCGGCUCUCUGGGACGGUACUGACGCUGAGACGCGAAAGCGUGGGGAGCGAACAGG
rnacentral:rRNA from 1 species